UGCAGUACAUACAGACGCAAUAAAUGGCACUGGGUGUGAUCAGUAGGGAAAGUGGCGUAUUGGAGGACGGAUGUUUUUGCACCUCUGUGGCACAAGGCGGCAGCAGCGGCUUGCAAGUCUCGCGACAGUGGAGUGGAGGGGAGAAGAAUCUAAACCGGAAGUGUACAUAACCAGCUGAGGAGAUAAACGUGCAUUAACGGA